UUGCAGGCUGCAACCCGCCCUGUAUGAAGUUGGAAUCGCUAGUAAUCGCGGAUCAGCAUGCCGCGGUGAAUACGUUCCCGGGCCUUGUACACACCGCCCGUCACACCAUGAGAGUCGGGAACACCCGAAGUCCGUAGCCUAACCGCAAGGAGGGCGCGGCCGAAGGUGGGUUCGAUAAUUGGGGUGAAGUCGUAACAAGGUAGC
rnacentral:rRNA from 1 species